UACGUAGGGAGCGAGCGUUAUCCGGAUUUAUUGGGUGUAAAGAGUGCGUAGACGGGAUGGCAAGUUAGCUGUGAAAUCCCUCGGCUUAACCGAGGAACUGCAGCUAAAACUACUAUUCUUGAGUGCUGGAGGGGAAAGUGGAAUUCCUAGUGUAGCGGUGAAAUGCGUAGAUAUUAGGAGGAACACCAGUGGCGAAGGCGACUUUCUGGACAGUAACUGACGUUGAGGCACGAAAGUGUGGGGAGCAAACAGG
rnacentral:rRNA from 1 species